rnacentral:tRNA from 1 species
GGGCGAUUGGUUCAGUGGUAGAACGCUUCUCUGAUAAAGAAGAGGUCCAUGGUUCGAUUCCAUGAUCGCCCACCC